rnacentral:lncRNA from 1 species
UUGCAAUUAUCACAAUUCUAAUAAUCUUACAAUUAAAUUUAAUUUAUUAAUUUAAAGAAAUAGACUUAUAUAAUUAAAUUAGGCGCUCUUAUUUCAAAAGACUUUUCCUCUUAUUGAAAAAAAUAAAAUAAAAUCAAAAGAAUGGAAAGGUGUGAGUAAUUAUGAAGGUGUAAAGAAUGAAGAAGGUGCAUAAAAGACUGGUCCAGGCCUAGACGUUCAUGCUUCUCCUCUAUAAUAAGGUACAGAGAUUAAAUUGGAGGGUGUACGAAGUAACCCAGUCCAUUUUUACCUUGAGACCUUAAGGCUCUUCUUCACACACAACUACCACACCGUCUCCCUAAUGCAACGGCGCCGCCUCCGUUCUCGCCGGAUUCCGUUUCUGGCGACGACGCCGGCGUCACCAGUGGCGCUCCCCCUUCAUCCUUCUUCUCACGUAAACCAUCUUUGGUCAUUCUGUCGUUCACCGCCGCCGCUCAAAUCUCGCCAACUCGAACCCACGUCGUUGACGGCGGUAGUGCUUAUGACCUCGCCGGCACCGCUGUCAGCUCCCUCCCUUUCUUCCUUCUAUUUUUCCAUCUGGUGAGAGAGGUUUUGCUCUCCCUUCUUCAUUCUUCCCAAAUCUGGUUCCCGAUGGAGGACCUAGCGAAGCUCUACUGUAUCACCACCAUCCUCUACCGGUCAGAGUAGUCGUAGGUCUUGCUAUUUCGGUUGGAGGUGUCGCCGUCCGACAGAAGCUCGUCACCGUCCGGCGUCCAUUGUCUAUCAAGAGCUGAUGUGUGGUGUGAUGUAAAAUAGAGGUUUCAUCUUCCCUUUCCUCUGCUAUUUUUUUAUUUUCCAUUUUGGAUUAGUUGUUAUUUGUGUUUUUUCGUUUUGCUUUGGGAUGAAGAAGGUAGUAAUGUAUUUUUGAUGUGAUGAUAGAUCUGUUAUUUGUUGUUUGUAGGUGAAUGGAAGAUUGUUUGUAUGGUGAUUUGAGAUAAAAGGUGAAUAAGAAUGUGAUAAUUUUUGUGUUGGGUCUGUUAUUGGAGUGCAGAGAAUAUGAAAAUGGUGACAGAGAAGAUGAAGAUUAGAAUGGUAUUGUAGGGGCUGGAUGACGUCUUCGUCUGUUGAUUUCUGUUUUCAGUCACCUUAGUCUAUGUUUUAUGUUCAUGUUACAACAAUUGUGGGUGGUUGUGACACGAGGGAAAUAAUAAUAAUUUAGUAUUUACCUAAUGCAUUAUUAUUAUUAUUAUUAUUAUUAUUAUUAUUAUUAUUAUUAUUAUUAUUAUUAUUAUUAUUAUUAUUAUUAUUAUUUUAGAG